UACGAAGGGGGCUAGCGUUGCUCGGAAUCACUGGGCGUAAAGCGCACGUAGGCGGAUCUUUAAGUCAGGGGUGAAAUCCUGGAGCCCAACUCCAGAACUGCCUUUGAUACUGAGGAUCUUGAGUCCGGGAGAGGUGAGUGGAACUCCGAGUGUAGAGGUGAAAUUCGUAGAUAUUCGGAAGAACACCAGUGGCGAAGGCGGCUCACUGGCCCGGUACUGACGCUCAUGCACGACAGCGUGGGGAUCAAACAGG
rnacentral:rRNA from 1 species